GGGGGGGGGGGGGGGGGGGGGGGGGGGGGGGGGGGGGGGGGGGGGGGGGGGGGGGGGGGGGGGGGGGGGGGCAACCUGGGACACGCCCGGCACACCUGGGACACGCCCGGUGACCCUGGGACACGCCCGGCGCUCCUGGGACACGCCCGGCACACCUGGGACACGCCCAGCACACCUGGGACACGCCCAGUGAACCUGGGACACGCCCGACGCACCUGGGACACGCCCACCACACCCUAAAACACGCCAGGCGCUCCUGGGAAACGCCCAGCCCGCCUGGGACACGCCCGGUGUCCUUGGGACACGCCCACCUCACCAUGAGACACACCCUCUUCACCUGGACCAUGCCCAUCUCACCCUGGGAUACGCCCGGCGCAACCUUGGACACGCCCGGUGAACCUGGGAUACGCCCGGUGCACCUGGGACACGCCCAGCGCAGGCGCUCCUGGGACACGCCCAGCCCGCCUGGGACACGCCCGGUGACCCUGGGACACGCCCUCUUCACCUGGGACACACCCACCUCACCCAAACCACGCCCACCUCACCGGGGCCACACCCACCUCACCUAAACCACGCCCACCUCACCUGGGCCCCGCCUGUCUUGCAUUAGCCACGCCCACCUCAGCUCUGCCACACCCAGCUCACAAUAGCCACGCCCACCUCACCCCUGAACCACGCCCACCACACCCAGCUCACCUGGGCACGUGGCAGCCUUACCUGGCCCCGCCCCCUUCCUCCCAAAAUAUCGGUACCUGCCCCUCCCCCCGCACCUGAAAUCUGGGACCAAACUCGCUUUUGGGAAAAUAAAUCAAAGUUGUUCUCACGGAGUUUUGGGGCUCUUUGGGAUUUUGGGGUUGGGGUUUGGGAGGUUC
rnacentral:lncRNA from 12 species